rnacentral:ncRNA from 5 species
CAUUAGAUGACUGAAAGCAAGUACU